rnacentral:misc_RNA from 1 species
GAUGAAGAACGCAGCAAAAUGCGAUAAGUAAUGUGAAUUGCAGAAUUCAGUGAAUCAUCGAAUCUUUGAACGCACAUUGCGCCCGCUGGUAUUCCGGCGGGCAUGCCUGUUCGAGCGUCAUUUCAACCCUCAAGCCCCCGGGUUUGGUGUUGGGGAUCGGCUCUGCCCUUCUGGGCGGUGCCGCCCCCGAAAUACAUUGGCGGUCUCGCUGCAGCCUCCAUUGCGUAGUAGCUAACACCUCGCAACUGGAACGCGGCGCGGCCAUGCCGUAAAACCCCAACUUCUGAAUGUUGACCUCGGAUCAGGUAGGAAUACCCGCUGAACUUAAGCAUAUCAAUACGGAGGA